UGUCCAUAUCAUGUUAAAGCUCCGGUUCUCAUAUGAUCACUGAAGUUAAGCAACGUCGAGUCCAAUCUGUAUCUAGAUUGGUGACUGCUUGGGAAUACCAGAUUUUGUA